rnacentral:misc_RNA from 1 species
CCGAGUUCUACCACCAUUCCUCGAGCUCUUUGCAAAGUCGGGGUAAGGCUGCAUACAUUAACCAUCCUCAGAGCUCAGAGCUCAAAGUUCACAAGCAUGAGAUGUUUCGUGCAAUGGGUCACUCCUAUUUUACUACCAUUUCUCUUACAUGGUAAUGAAGAAAAUGGAAAAUUCUUGACGACACGCAGCAUAUUACAUCAAAAUAAUGAAUGAAUGUUUAGGGUAAUUUACUGAUCAUUUAUUAAUUAAGCAUAAAACACUCAAGAGUACGUGGAGCUCAUUCAUUAAUUUGGCGUAAUAAUCUGGUGCAUUCUAAUCUGUCCCAGAAAAUCAGUAACAAUGAUAUUCAAAGAUUAAAUCCAGUUACCAAUUUUAGGGGAAAAGUUAAGAUUGAUUGACUAUUUUGAUUAAAAAAAGUGCAUAAUUGAAUUGACUAUUAGUUUUGUCUUUAUCAAUGUGAAAAAUGUAUGAGAGGAAACUUUGCUAAAAUACAAUAUUCAGAUUAAGAGAUGAAAAAAACACAUUACAUUACCAAAUCUGACAAGUUUGAAGAAUACAUGAGCAUACACUUGUCACAUAUUCAGAAAGAACUUGCAAGAACAGGCUGAACAUCACGAAAUACCACUCUUCCUAAUGGCUUAUUGUUAUAUGCUCCAGUCCCACGGUAGACCUCUCUCUUUAUUGCAGAAACAUAGAGGUUACUGAUAAUUAUAUUACAAUAUAUCACAUCAGGCUUCUAUUUUAUUCCCAUUUAGAUUGAUUGCUGACAGCUCGUUUUGCAUAAACUCUCCUGCAUACAUGGGUGGAUAUUGGUUGGCUUGUGGGCGUUUGGCAAAGUGGCCUAAAGGCUUCAACAUGGCAUCUGACGCAAUGUUUGAGAAGAGCUGCAAAUGAACAAAAUGAAGAAAUUUAACAUUUUUUUCCCUGGAAUUGAGACAAUAUUUGAUACAGAACUGGAUACUUAUAUUAUCCCUUACUGUUGAGGAAACUCUCCAGAGGCUUCUAUUUUGCUCUGCAGCCUUUUUCACUGCAUCAAGUGUUUUGUCUGUGACAACAACUUCAUGCAUUCCAGCCAUGCAUUCUCCAGCAGUCAGCCACUCUAUCUGCUUUCCUGUCUGAAUGAAGAGACAUCCGGGUGGAACCUUGACUUCCACUUUCUGUCCAUUCCUCAGCCAAAUGUUUAGACCAGGGAAUCUACUUCUCCCAUGAAUGGUUAAAAAGUUAGUAUCAUAAUGAUAUCCAGCAAACACAGUUCCUUCCUGAUUAUAAUGGCUGAGGUUACUCCCUGUUGGGCCAAGAAGCUGUGGUCCCUGCUUCAGAAGAGAAGUAAAAGCAUCCUUGGGCAAGCCAAACCCAAUUGCUGCCAUUUCAGCUACAGCCUCAACUGCAUUCACCAUUUUGGAUCCCCAUGAGUCCAUGACUUCUUUCCACUCAAGGAAUCCUUCAGGUAUGGGAGGCUCCAAGUUAAAUUCCCUGAAACGAGUGUUUGCUGGUGGAGAACCUACUCUCCACAUAUACCUCUCCUUGAGAUCAGGUCCAUGGGGCAGGGAUGGUUGAACAUCCAUAGGCAUGGCUUUUACCUUCUCUUUUAUCUUCUCAUCAACCACACAUUUUGCAACUUCUAAUCCAUCUGGGCUUGAUCCAAUCUGGUAAUAUGAUUGAGGUCUCUCGUGGAGUUUUUUGUAGUCUUGAGGCCUCUCGAAGUACUUCUCCAUGAUGUCUAUGAACCGGUCAUUAUCUUCCGCGGAGCAUCUCGGAUCUUUCACUAUCAAAGCUCCGGUUUCUCGGAGGAUCCGACUCACCUCCUUGCAUGAUUCAAUUAGCCAUGGCCCGAAUUCUUGGAGCUGACCUGAUAAUUUCUCCGGGUCGUUGCUCAGUUUUCCGGAGAUCUCUAAAUAUCGGGAUAGAUCAAUCACCGGUAGCUCCAUUUCGGACGUUUGGUUUCUCAGAGUCUCGGUUUAAGAGCAGAGGGAAAUGAUACGUUAUGACGUGGCGGGAGAGACGCGGAUUGAUGGAGGUUUUAAAUUGGUGCUACGGCGCACUUUUGCAUGGACUCGCUACUGUUCUGAUACGCAGCGAGUACCCUUGUGAUCUAUUUAUAUGAAAAUGGAGCAUCACAAUGUAUUGGGUGACAAAUUACCAUGAACAGAAUAGUAUAAGCACUAAAGAAAGCAUUAUUGUUGCCCUGCCACCUGCACGGUAGAAAUUAAAGGACACCAUGUGAUGAUUUUGACUGGAAGUUGAAAUUGUCAGAACCAAUGUGGGAUUUAAGCCACAUGAUAGUUUUGUAUGGGUUUUGUUUAUUAUUUUUUUUCCUAUAUGGGGUCUGAAUUAGUGCAAUUGAUGCAUGUUUGGUUUAUUAUUGUCCUUCCACCAAUGAAGAAAUU